rnacentral:tRNA from 1 species
GAGGGUAUAGCUAAGCCGGAGAGCGCAUGCUUAGCAUGCCUGAGGUCCUGGGUUCACUCUCCAGUGCCUCCA